rnacentral:rRNA from 1 species
AGCGGAGGAAAAGAAACCAACAGGGAUUGCCUCAGUAACGGCGAGUGAAGCGGCAACAGCUCAAAUUUGAAAUCUGGAGCCUUCGGCUUCCGAGUUGUAAUUUGAAGAGGAUGUUUCGGUGCGACCUGGGCCUAAGUUCCUUGGAACAGGACGUCAUGGAGGGUGAGAAUCCCGUACAUGGCUGCAGGUUUGCUUCUAUGUGAAACUCCUUCGAAGAGUCGAGUUGUUUGGGAAUGCAGCUCAAAAUGGGUGGUAAAUUUCAUCUAAAGCUAAAUAUUGGUGGGAGACCGAUAGCGCACAAGUAGAGUGAUCGAAAGAUGAAAAGCACUUUGAAAAGAGAGUUAAACAGUACGUGAAAUUGUUGAAAGGGAAGCGCUUGCAAUCAGACUCGCCUUCAGUUGAUCAGCCUUCCUUCUGGUUGGUGCACUCUGCUGUUGGCGGGCCAGCAUCAGUUGGGGCGGUGGGACAAAGGCGGCAGGAAUGUGGCUCGCUCCGGUGAGUGUUAUAGCCUGCUGUGUCAUGCCACCAGUCCCGACUGAGGUCCGCGGUUCGCCUAGGAUGCUGGCUUAAUGGUUGUAAGCGACCCGUCUUGAAACACGGACCAAGGAGUCUAACAUCUAUGCGAGUCUUUGGGUGUAAAACCCAUGGGCGAAAUGAAAGUGAACGGAGGUGGGAGUCCUCGGAUGCACCAUCGACCGAUCCUGAUGUUCUCGGAUGGAUUUGAGUAGGAGCAUAGCUGUUGGGACCCGAAAGAUGGUGAACUAUGCCUGAAUAGGGUGAAGCCAGAGGAAACUCUGGUGGAGGCUCGCAGCGGUUCUGACGUGCAAAUCGAUCGUCAAAUUUGGGUAUAGGGGCGAAAGACUAAUCGAACCAUCUAGUAGCUGGUCCUG